UACGUAGGGUGCAAGCGUUAAUCGGAAUUACUGGGCGUAAAGCGUGCGCAGGCGGUUUUGUAAGUCUGACGUGAAAGCCCCGGGCUCAACCUGGGAAUUGCGUUGGAGACUGCAAGGCUUGAAUCUGGCAGAGGGGGGUAGAAUUCCACGUGUAGCAGUGAAAUGCGUAGAGAUGUGGAGGAACACCGAUGGCGAAGGCAGCCCCCUGGGUCAAGAUUGACGCUCAGGUGCGAAAGCGUGGGGAGCAAACAGG
rnacentral:rRNA from 1 species